GACGAACGCUGGCGGCGUGCCUAAUACAUGCAAGUUGAGCGCUGAAGGUUGGUACUUGUACCAACUGGAUGAGCAGCGAACGGGUGAGUAACGCGUGGGGAAUCUGCCUUUGAGCGGGGGACAACAUUUGGAAACGAAUGCUAAUACCGCAUAAAAACUUUAAACACAAGUUUUAAGUUUGAAAGAUGCAAUUGCAUCACUCAAAGAUGAUCCCGCGUUGUAUUAGCUAGUUGGUGAGGUAAAGGCUCACCAAGGCGAUGAUACAUAGCCGACCUGAGAGGGUGAUCGGCAACAUUGGGACUGAGACACGGCCCAAACUCCUACGGGAGGCAGCAGUAGGGAAUCUUCGGCAAUGGACGAAAGUCUGACCGAGCAACGCCGCGUGAGUGAAGAAGGUUUUCGGAUCGUAAAACUCUGUUGGUAGAGAAGAACGUUGGUGAGAGUGGAAAGCGCAUCAAGUGGCGGUAACUACACAGAAAGGGAUGGCUAACUACGUG
rnacentral:rRNA from 1 species